AUCGCGUUUAGUUAUUCAAAAAAUCAUACUUCGCGUUCAAUAGCAAAUCUUGAGUGUGCUUAAAUAGUAAUUAUACACACAAAAAAUUGUUUAAAUUCUUCCUUUGGAUUUUCAAAUCGCGAUCGAAUAAAACGUGAAACGUUUAACAAACCACAAAAAUUAAUUGGAAAAACGUGUCACAAUCGCAAAUAAACCAAUAACACAGACUUAAGUACAUGCGUAUCAAAUUUAAAUAAUUGUAAAUUCAACAACAAAAAUAAAUGAAUUGGGUGAAAUUAAGUUUUUGGAACGCUCAUUCAUAAUAUAACAAAAACAAAGUGCAAUAAUUUACUUACUUAAAAAAAAAUCAGUUCGAGUUUAAACCGCAAGUACUUUACAAAUAAUUGUGUGUGGCUAGUGGAUUUUCAUUGAUUAAGCCAUUAGAGUUAUCCAUUCUUGUAAACACAUAUUUUAAUUAAAAAACUGCUAAAGAAAAACAAAAAAACAGCUUCAAAAUGAGUCUGUGUGAUGCUAGCGCCGUAACCAUUCAAGCUACCCCUCAACAACAACACCAGAGCACACAAAGCAUAGCCGACUAUUUGGCACAAUUGCUGAAGGAUCGCAAACAAAUGGCAGCUUUUCCAAAUGUAUUCAAUCACGUUGAACGUCUGCUUGAUGAAGAAAUUGCGCGAGUACGUGCCUCACUAUUUCAAAUAAAUGGCGUCAAGAAGGAACCACUCACGCUGCCAGAGCCCGAGGGCACCCCUGUACAGUUAAAUGAGAAAGUAUACGUGCCAGUUCGAGAACAUCCAGAUUUCAACUUCGUUGGCAGAAUCUUGGGACCACGCGGCAUGACAGCUAAGCAAUUAGAACAAGAGACUGGCUGUAAAAUAAUGGUUCGAGGCAAAGGCUCGAUGAGAGAUAAAAAGAAGGAGGACGCAAAUCGCGGCAAACCCAACUGGGAGCACUUGUCCGACGAUCUGCACGUGUUGAUCACCGUUGAGGACACACAGAAUCGUGCCAAAGUCAAAUUAGCUCAGGCCGUUGCCGAAGUGCAAAAGCUUCUAGUACCGCAAGCCGAAGGCGAAGAUGAACUUAAAAAACGUCAACUCAUGGAAUUAGCUAUAAUUAAUGGCACUUAUAGGGAUACGUCGGCGAAAAAUGCCAUUCCAGCCUGCGAGGAGGAAUGGCGCCGUGUGAUCGCCGCCUCGGCUGAGAGCCGCCUAUUGGCGCCAGCAUUGCCAACCCUAGCACCACAGAUACGCGCACCGCAGGCCACCACACUGGGCGCCCCCUUGAUACUCUCACAACGCAUGACCGUGCCGACCACAGCGGCGAGCAUACUGUCCGGCCAAGCUGCGCCCGCCGCCUUCGAGAAUCCCGCACACGGCAUGAUUUUCGCACCGUACGGCGACUACGCGAAUUAUGCUGCACUCGCUGCUGGCAAUCCCUUGCUGACGGAAUACACAGAUCAUAGCGUAGGCGCUCUUAAGCAGCAGCGACGUUUGGCUAACAGAGAUCAUCCAUAUCAGAGGGCUGCGGCUGCGGUCGGCGUCACAGCCAAGCCAGGCUUCAUUGAGAUACAGUAAAUAACGGUUAAGCACUUAAACAAAAAUUACAUAAAAAAGCUAAAAUCGAAAGCAGUGAAAUUACAACAACAAAAGUUAAUGUUAAAGUUUAUCAUAUAUUUGCGGCGCAUGCAUACACACAACAAAACUACAUAAAUAACGGUCUAUGUACACGCAGAUGUAUGCAUGCCGUCGGCUCCAUUAAUAUCUUUCGUUUAUCUCAUUAUUUUUUUUUAUAAGAAAUUAAAGUAAUCUCGUUUUUAUACAUAAAUAUUGUUUUUUCUUUAAGUAAAAAAGUUGCAAAUAAAUUUUAUAUAAUGUUUUUAAAAGCGAAAUUUACAAGUAAGCUAAAAUUUGCGGAAAUUGCAUUUUUCAAAAAUUUUGUUGCAAAUAAAAUAAAGUUUUAAAUUAAAAAAUAAUAAGUAAUAAUAAAUUUUAUUUAAAAAAUAUAUUUAAAUUAAUAAAUUAAUUAAAUUUGCUAAUUGCCUGCGCGAAGCUGUGACCAGCACGACUGCGUAUAGCCCGCGCAAUGUUAAGUAACUGGGCUGAAUAUUGAGUAUAAAACAAACACACACACUCACGCCAAACAAAAAAUCAAAAAUCAAGCGUACGCCUCUGUCUACCGCAAAAAGCGCCGAGCUGUGUGAAAUGAAUUCUUGCGUUUAACACAAAAUGAAUGAUUUGCCCAGUUUGACAGCUCAACAGACGAAAAUAACCCAUUUAGAUGCGAUUGAUUGAUUAACUCGUUGCUACCACACACACACCUUCACAACUACUACCAACUAUUAAUACCUAAAAAAUAUAUAACAAUUAGCGAAGUAAAAAUAGUUGUCUUUCUCACCACUCGACAGAUGUCUAAAGGCAUACAAACAAAUUUGCUAUUGAAAGCGAGCCAUAUAAUAAAAUAAUAAAAAAAUAAUAAUAAAUUGUUUAAUUAAAUUUAUAAUACUAUUACAAAAAUAUGAAAUAAUAUUGAAUGAUACAGUUAUAAAUAUAAAAAUAAUAAAAUAAAUAAAAAAAUAAUAUAAUAAAAAAUAAAAUAAUAUUAAUUCUUAAUUAUAUUGAAUGUUACAAUCAUGCCAUAUAAAGAAAAAGCAAUAACAACAAAAGAAGUAAAGCGGUGCAGAAAUCAGAGCAAAAAUAACGGCAGCGACAUGUGUUUACAAGGUGGUCAAGCAAGCAGCAACGGCUCUUUUGACAGUCCACAGGUCGUUUGCGUAGCGUCCACUUAGUGGCAGGCGCUGAUAUACCCAACGAACUAACAGCAACCGAGCAAGCCACUUUUAGCACGCUUAACGCGCUGAACUACAAACCAAGUGGCUGCAAAUCAGCGCGUAGAAAAAAGAAAAACAACAACUACAACAAUAAUGUAUAUCAAAUAACAGCUACAACAACUAAUCUGUAUAGGAUACGCUCUGACAUAAUAAACUACUAUACGAGUAUUGCUAACAACAUCAGCGUCAUCAUCCCACCACCACCACCACUACCACAUACCGCACUAUCACCUACUUACCAACUUUGUGACAUUGUAUGCAUGCCACGUGCAUAUGUAUAAGUACAAACAACACCCUAUAAUACAUAUACACAUAUAUACAUAUAUAUUUACCAAUGCUGUUUGCAACGAUGAUGGCUACUAUAGUGAAUAGUGUAUACCUCACCUUCGUUUAGCUAACAACUGUGUAUAUACGCCGACGCCACUGUACAUCCCCGCCUACGAUUACAUACGCCUGCCACAUAACGGCAUAAUGCAUGCCAGUAUU